rnacentral:rRNA from 1 species
CAAGACGAGUAGAGUGGCGAAAGGGCGAGUAAUGCAUGGGUAACGUACCCCAAGCCCAGGGAUAGCCGCGGGAAACUGCGGAUAAUACCUGACGAGACCACAGCUCCACCAGGAGCAGGGGUCAAAGGUGGGGACCUUCGGGCCUAUCGGCUUGGGAGCGGCCCAUGUCCUAUCAGCUUGUUGGUGAGGUAACGGCUCACCAAGGCGACGACGGGUAGCGGGACUGAGAGGUUGGCCCGCCGCACUGGGACUGAGACACUGCCCAGACUCCUACGGGAGGCUGCAGUAACGAAUCUUGUCCAAUGGGCGCAAGCCUGAGACAGCAAUGCCGCGUGCGGGACGAAGUCCUUCGGGAUGUAAACCGCUGUCAGGGGUUAGGAAGCAAUGAGGGCCAAUACCCCUCAACGUUGACCAGCCCCAGAGGAAGCCACGGCUAACUUCGUGCCAGCAGCCGCGGUAAUACGAAGGUGGCGAGCGUUAUUCGGAAUCACUGGGCUUAAAGAGCACGUAGGCGGACAGUCAAGCGUCUUGUGAAAUCCCUCGGCUUAACCGAGGAACUGCUUGGCGAACUGGCUGUCUUGAGGCAAGUAAGGGCGCGUGGAACUCUUGGUGGAGCGGUGGAAUGCGUAGAUAUCAAGAGGAACGCCGGAGGUGAAGACGGCGCGCUGGGCUCGUCCUGACGCUGAGGUGCGAAAGCCAGGGGAGCGAACGGGAUUAGAUACCCCGGUAGUCCUGGCCCUAAACGAUGUCCACUAGGUCGAUGGUUCUCUGACGGAUUGUCGGCCGAAACCAAAGCGUUAAGUGGACCGCCUGGGGAGUACGGUCGCAAGGCUAAAACUCAAAGGAAUUGACGGGGACUCACACAAGCGGUGGAGCAUGUUGCUUAAUUCGAUGCAACGCGAAGAACCUUAUCCUGGGCUUGACAUGUAUGGAUGCCUACCUGGAAACAGGAUCGGUUGCCCUUCGGGGUGAAACUUACACAGGUGCUGCAUGGCUGUCGUCAGCUCGUGUCGUGAGAUGUUGGGUUAAGUCCCGUAACGAGCGAAACCCUUGUCGCUAGUUGCCAGCGGGU